UACGUAGGGACCAAGCGUUGUUCGGAUUUACUGGGCGUAAAGAGCGCGUAGGCGGCUUGUCAAGUCACUUGUGAAAUCUCUGGGCUUAACCCAGAACGGCCAAGUGAAACUGACAUGCUAGAGUGCAGAAGGGGCAAUCGGAAUUCUUGGUGUAGCGGUGAAAUGCGUAGAUAUCAAGAGGAACACCUGAGGUGAAGACGGGUUGCUGGGCUGACACUGACGCUGAGGCGCGAAAGCCAGGGGAGCAAACGGG
rnacentral:rRNA from 1 species